rfam:Triticum aestivum genome assembly, contig: Triticum_aestivum_CS42_TGACv1_scaffold_328229_4BS
AACUUACUCCCUCCGUCCGAAAAUACUUCAUCAAAAUAGACAAAAAGAGAUGUAUCUAGAACUAAAAUACAUCUAGAUAUAUCCUUUUUUAUCUAUUUUGAUGACAAGUAUUUUCAGACGAAGGGAGUAUGUA